AGCAGCCGCGGUAAUUCCAGCUCCAAUAGCGUAUAUUAAAGUUGUUGCAGUUAAAAGCUCGUAGUUGAAUUUCGGGAUCAAUAUUUCGGUCAUGCCGUUGGUAUGCACUGUUAUCAUUGAUUUCUCACCUUCUAAAGAACCGUAAUGCCAUUAAUUUGGUGUUACGGGGAAUUAGGACUGUUACCUUGAAAAAAUUAGAGUGUUAAAGCAGGCUCACGCUUGAAUACAUUAGCAUGGAAUAAUGAAAUAGGACAUCCGAUUCUAUUUUGUUGGUUUCUAGGAUCGAUGUAAUGAUUAAUAGGGAUAGUUGGGGGCAUUAGUAUUCAAUUGUCAGAGGUGAAAUUCUUGGAUUUAUUGAAGACUAACUACUGCGAAAAGCAUUUGCCAAGGAUGUUUUCAUUAAUCAAGAACGAAGUUAGGGGAUCGAAGACGAUCAGAUACCGUCGUAGUCUUAGCCAUAAAACUAUGCCGACUAGGGAUCGGAUGAUGUUAAUUUUUUAAUGACUCAUUCGGCGCCUUA
rnacentral:rRNA from 1 species